rnacentral:tRNA from 1 species
UCUAAUAUGGCAGAUAAGUGCAAUGGACUUAAACCCCAUAUAUAAAGUAAUUCCCUUUUAUUAGAA